GUAGAAAAUUGAUACACACAUUUUAUUCAACUGGAAUCCCUUUAAAAACAAGAAGAAAAUCAACUACUUCCUAAUAUGUAGGAAGCACAAUCUCACAAUCAACAAUAAAACAGGACAACUAAAUAACAGUCCUUGACCAACUCAAAUAAUAAAAAACACAUAAAAAAUCGGACUCAAGAACUUAAACAGCAAUAAAUAGAUUUUUACAUACUAACAUACUUCCCCUUAAUGCAAAAAUCUACUACACCCAACUUAUCUCUAAAAUACACAAAUUUCUCAAAAGAAAGUGACUUAGUAAAUAAAUCAGCAACUUGUUCUUGGGAGUUGUAAUGUUCUAUCGUAAUGCUUCCUUCAACCACAAGCUCUCUUAUGAAAUGAUGUCGAGUGUCAAUGUGCCUUGCAUGACUAUGAUGAAUUGGAUUUUUUGUCAUUGCAAUAGUGGAUUGAUUAUCACAAAAGAUUGUUGUGGCCUCCUUUUGAUGUAGCUUCAUAUCUCCCAAAAUUCUUCUCAACCAAAUUGCUUGGCAAGCUACUUCUGAUGAUGACAAAGCAGUAGAUGGCUGCUCCUUUGAGCACCAGGAUAUGGCAUUUGAUCUAAGUUUGAAUAGAUAGCCCGUAGUACUCUUGUGGUCAUCAAUUGAACCUGCCCAAUCACUAUUAGAAAAUCUACAGAACUUAAAGUUGUUAGUGUUAGAGUACCAAAGACCAUAAGAGCAUGUUCCUUUCAAAUAUCUUAGCACUCUCUUCGCUGCACCAUAAUGAAUUUUGCUUGGAUUUUGCAUAAACCGUGACAAAAGACCGGUAGCUUGCAAAAUGUCAAGGCAACUAUUUGUGAGAUAGAGUAGACUUCCUACCAAAUUUCGAUACACUUGAAAAUCUGCAUUCUCUUCUCCAUCAUCCAGGCUGUAUUUAUGAUUAGUAAUCAUUGGAGUUUUGACCGGAUUACAAUCUUUCAUCAUAAACUUCUUAAGAAGAUCAUUCACAUAUUUUUCUUGUGAAAUAAAAAUUUCAGCAUCACAUUGUUUUACCUCUAAACCUAAGAAAUAACUCAUCAAACCCAAAUCAGUCAUUUCAAAUUCAGCGACCAUAAUCCUCUUAAAAUCAUGAAUUAAAGCAACACUAUUUCCAGUAUAGAUUAAAUCAUCCAUAUAAAGGCAAACAAUCAAUACCUCAUCAGCUCCUUGUGUUUUGACAUACAAAGUGGGCUCACUUGCAUUCUUUUGAAAGCCAUUUUUUAUGAAAUGCCUGUCAAUCCUCUCAUGCCAGGCUCUCGGUGCUUGUUUGAGAUCGUAAAGGGCUUUUUUUAAUCGAUACACCUUCAUUUCUUCACCAACAACUUCAUAUUCUCUUGGCUACUGUACAUAUACUUCUUCUUCCAAUAAACCAUUUAAAAAGGCUGAUUUCAUAUCAAAUUGAAAAACUGUCCACUUAUAAUGAGUAGUAAUUAAUAAAACAAUACAGAUGGUGUCAAACCUGGCCAUUGAAGAGAAUGCCUCUUCAAAUCAAUGCCUUCCCUUUGCAUGUAUCCAUGGGCAACUAUUCGAGCUUUAUGUUUUUGAACCGACCCAUCGGGUUUAUAUUUGAGUUUGUACACUCGUUUCAGCCCCACAACUUCUUUUCCCAACAGCAAGUCAACAAGCUCCCAUGUUUUGUUUUUCUCUAAUGCUUUCAUCUUCUCAUCCAUCACAACAGGCCACUUAUUGCUUUUUACAGCUUCUUCAAAGCUAUCAAGCUCUUCAAUUUGUGCUAGUUGACAUCUCUUAGUUGGUGCAUAGAUCUUGGCUAAGGAUCUCCACUUAUGUGGAGGUGUAGUUGAGGAAGAGGAGUUUGAUGAUGUAGAGCUAGAAGAACUAGUACCAAGUGUGGAAGGGCUAGUACUAGGUGUUGAAGAACCCGAACCACCAUUGCCACCAUCAUCUUCUAUGGACUCUAUUGGUUCAAUAAAUUCACCAUCAUCUUGAAUGUAACCAGCACCUGUUUGCAUCUCAGUCUAAUUCCAUUGAUUUUUCCUAGGAUGCCACAACCAAUUGUCAUCCUCUAAUGAAGCUGAUAAUGCUUUCUUGUCAUUAUCAAGAGUGAGAGGAAACAAAUUAUUCUUGGCCAUAGGAACCUUGAGUAGUAUGUUCUUCCUUGUUUUGUCUGAAAAAACAGAACAUUAAAAAUCUUCAAUGAUGAGUGAAUAACCUUGUCUUAGAAAUUGCCCAACACUCAACAGGUUUGAAUCUAGGUCAAGGACAUAAAGAACAUCUUUAAUGCAACUAGUUCCACUAGAAUUAAUCUUCACAGUUCCAUUUCCCUGUGCUUCACGAACUACUCCAUCACCCAUUUUCAUUGUAGUCUUUAUUGACUUGUCCAAAUUGAUAAAAGCCUCCAAGUUCGCUGUCAUAUGAUGGUAGCACCCGCUAUCCAUAUGCCAAAUGUCUGAAUCAUAAGGUUUAGCAGCAUAGCAUGCAAGAAACAAACU
rnacentral:misc_RNA from 1 species